rnacentral:rRNA from 1 species
GACACGACUCUCGACAAUGGAUAUCUUGGCUCUUGCAUCGAUGAAGAGCGCAGCGAAAUGCGAUACUUGGUGCGAAUUGCAGAAUCCCGCGAAC